rnacentral:rRNA from 1 species
ACGCUCAGGCACGAAAGCGUGGGGAUCAAACAGGAUUAGAUACCCCUGGUAGUCCACGCAGUAAACGAUGAGGACUUGUUGUCGGCGAUAGAGUGUCGGUGACAAAAGCGAAAGCGAUAAGUCCUCCACCUGGGGAGUACGAUCGCAAGGUUGAAACUCAAAGGAAUUGACGGGGGCCCGCACAAGCGGAGGAGCAUGUGGUUUAAUUCGAUGAUACGCGAGGAACCUUACCUGGACUCAAAUGUAGCCGGAAUUAUCCGGAAACGGGUAAGCCCUUCGGGGCCGGUUACAAGGUGCUGCAUGGUUGUCGUCAGCUCGUGCCGUGAGGUGUCAGGUUAAGUCCUAUAACGAGCGCAACCCCUACGCCCAGUUGCCAGCGGGUAAAGCCGGGGACUCUGGGGGAACUGCCUACGCAAGUAGAGAGGAAGGUGGGGAUGACGUCAAAUCAGCACGGCCCUUACGUCCAGGGCGACACACGUGCUACAAUGGCCGGUACAGAGGGCAGCCACCCUGCGAGGGGGAGCGAAUCUCGAAAGCCGGCCUCAGUUCGGAUCGGAGUCUGCAACUCGACUCCGUGAAGUUGGAUUCGCUAGUAAUCGC